GUGGCGAACGAAAAGGAAGGAGCCCAGCGCAGAACGUUCCGGGGCACUCGCCCUGAGAAUGAAUGUUGCGUUAAGGAUAUUGGCAUACACCCAUGGCAGUUACACUUUGCUAAGUCAGCCUCGAAUGGUUCUCGUGAAGCCGGUAACACGGUGAGACUCCAGGGAGGGUGUUAGACCCGUGUGAAGGUGCAAUCUGCUUGGGCAAGCCGAUAUCCCGAGAGUCGCGUUGUUUGAACAUGCAGCGCUAAGCAGGUCGUAGACUCGAUCUAAGGCUAAAUAUGUCCACAGAACCGAUAGUUAACAAGUACCGUGAGGGAAAGUUGAAAAGCACUCCGUAACGGAGAGUCAAAAGACCGUGAAACCACUCAGAGUAUAAGCCAAUGGUGUCUGGAAGGUCCUGUGCUUACAUCUUGGUGUCAAGGACUCAUGCGAACCUCAGCACUUGCGGGAGCAAUCUCCGUUGCUUUGGUAAGCUUGUCCGCUGAAGCACUCCGUUGACCCACCUGGCUCGUUGUGAGGUGUCCUGAGAGCAAAGCGAAGUGUUAAGAUUGGCUUGGAGUUGGGCGUGGGCGUCUCGAUGCCUUUCGCACUCUCCUUUUCGAGCACUUCUUCAGUUCUAUUCGCACAAAGUGUGGUAGUCUUGGAGUGUGCGCUGCUUGACGCUCUCUGGAACCAUCCUCUGCGACGAAGCUUCAAUGCCUUAGUGAGCGGCCGUCUUCCUCCUCGGGAGUCGGUACAUUGGCGCGGCUUGCACACUGUCGGUGCUCCGCUGUUCAACUCUGGCGCAAGGUGUUACGUCCGAUACCAUUGGUCACGUCUCGAAACACGGGCCAAGGAGUAUAGCGUGUGUGCAAGUCUAAGGGUUCCACAAAACCUGGAGGCGUAGUGAAAGCGAGUUAUGGUGUCUCACUGGACUGAUGGAGAAGGCAGUGAUGCGUGAUCCCGCAAGUCCCGGACUCGUCGUCUGCACUGCUUCGGUUGUGUUAGCGCGAGCACCGCAGAGCACAUACGCUAUGACCCGAAAGAUAGUGAACUAUGCUUGGCGAGGGUGAAGCCCCAGGAAACUGGGGUGGAGGCCCGUAGCCGUUGUGACGUGCAAAUCC
rnacentral:rRNA from 1 species